GACGUAGGGCGCGAGCGUUGUCCGGAUUUAUUGGGCGUAAAGAGCUCGUAGGCGGCUUGUUGCGUCGACUGUGAAAACCUGCGGCUCAACCGUGUGGUCUGCAGUCGAUACGGGCAGGCUGGAGUUCGGUAGGGGAGACUGGAAUUCCUGGUGUAGCGGUGAAAUGCGCAGAUAUCAGGAGGAACACCGGUGGCGAAGGCGGCAUCCUGGACCAACACUGACACUGAGGAGCGAAAGCCAGGGGAGCAAACGGG
rnacentral:rRNA from 1 species